CAGUCGCCGCGGUAAUACGAAGGGUGCAAGCGUUAAUCGGAAUUACUGGGCGUAAAGCGUGCGUAGGCGGUUUGUUAAGUCUGCUGUGAAAUCCCCGGGCUCAACCUGGGAAUGGCAGUGGAUACUGGCAAGCUAGAGUGUGUCAGAGGAUGGUGGAAUUCCGCGUGUAGCAGUGAAAUGCGUAGAUAUGCGGAGGAACACCGAUGGCGAAGGCAGCCCCCUGGGCCAACACUGACGCUCAUGCACGAAAGCGUGGGGAGCAAACAGGAUUAGAUACCCGAGUAGUCCCUGUCUCUUAUAC
rnacentral:rRNA from 1 species